AUUGCUCUGGACUUGAAGCCCACGUCUACCGCCUACCAUCUUCAAGACCUUGUUAACCUUCUGUAUUUCCAUUUCUUCCCCUGUCCAAAAUGGGGGAUAAUAAAUAUACCUCCCUAUAAUGAAAUGGGGUGAUUGUGGAGAUUAAAAUGGGUUAAUAUGUGUACAGUUACAGUGCGUAGACCAAUGCCUGAUCCUUAGUAACUGCUCAAUGCAUGUCUACUACAAUUAUUAUUAUAUCCCCCAAAAUGAGCAUGGAGCUGACCUAGAGAGCGUUUUUGACAGCAUUCAUUAUUAUAUAGGCCCUGAGAAAGCCAGUUUCUGGAUUCUCCAAAAUAGCUCUCUUCAGUCUGGCCAUCUCAUUUGGCAAUGAAUGGGACACUACAAGUGUUGUUUCUGGUUUAUAUUUCCCAAGUAGCGCAUCAGCAAAGCUUUGCAAAAUGAUGGCGCUGCUGCUGACUCUGGGAGCUAGGCCUAUACCCUGUUUGGACUCUGUGAGAUAGGCCCAUACACCAUUUGGAGAGGUUAACCUCUGAGGCCGUUCUCCCGUGGCCCACCAGAAUUCACUUGGGGGAGAUUCUUGCAACACAGAUACCAGGGCACAGCCUCUAGCAGUGCUGAUUCUGAUGCCCUGAAUGGAGCCUGAGUUAAGCAGGCCUGCUGAAUGACCGCACUUUGAUACAUAUAGCCCUAGAGCACAUCUCCAUCUUCCGGACAUUUGUAGGGAAAAAUUUUUUAAAAGUAUUUCUGAAACCUCCAUUAUCAUUUAAACACAGUGGGGUGGGAGGGGACUACUAAGGGGGUAAGGAGGUAGGGAGGGACUGGCAAUGGUCCGUAUCUCCUUUAUAUGCCCCUUUCCCCUGAAUUCUUCCCCAGCAGCUGAGGGUCCCUGGAGCCCUCCUUUUCCCCUACUCCUGUAUUACCAUGUAAUAUUGCUCUUGCUGGUACGUAGUUGGUUGUUUCACAACUACUUGAAGGAUUUGUCCUUGACCCAGUGCGAUCACAGACAAUCUCUUGGCAUUGGGUCACUAGAGUUAAGGACCUGAGUUAGCCUCCAACUUCAUGGACAGUCAAGGAUUGUUUGUCCUGUUUCUUCUUCUUGGUGUCUUUGACCAGCAGCAGAUUUAGUGAAUAUUUGAGACGCUCAAUCCCUAGCUCCUCAGUGGGACCCUCUCCCUGGAAUCAGUGAGUUCUAACUGUAAGGCGCCUCUACCACUCAUUAGUUAUGUGAUUUUGGGCAUGUGACUUAGGCUUUUUCAGCCCGUUUCUUCAUCUGUAAAAUGGAAAUGUCAUAGGUCUUGACUUUUGGGGUUGCUAUGAGAAUUAAAUAAGGAACCAUAAAGCUUGUAGCAGGUGGUCUGGGCAUAAUACAUUUCAGCAACUUUAUUAAUAUUUGAAGAGUCAUGUGUGUAUAUUCAUAGUUUUAGAAUAUUAAAUCAGAACAUAUGGUCCAGUGAAAGAUAUUUUUCUCCUUGAUUUGUGAGUGUAUUUAUAUGAAAAGUCUUACAUAGUCUAAAAAUACAUUUGAUUUAGUUAUGCUUAACAAAUUGCCCUUUUGAAAAUAAUAGAAUUACUUCAAAUGAGAUUGUUUUGGAAAGUCUAGAAACUGAGGCCGUUGUAGACAAAGGUUAAUUAUUUAUUGAAGCAUAUGAGUAAUUGGAAAUGAGGAUAUUUGGGAGCUGGUGUUUUGGUUUUACUGUGCCAAUGUCAUCCUUCAUGGAUUUAAAUACAUUUUCAAUGCUGUUCACACUAAAUUCCUAAUUCCACCUCAUACCUGACCCUGAACUCUAGAAUUUAUUUAUGUAUGGGAUUGCCUUCAUAUCAUCACCUUUCGUUGUGUAAAGGGCAUCUCAAACUCUAUAGGCCUAAUAUUGUAUACCUAAUUUCCCCUCUCCCCAAUCUAAGCCCUUCUUCCUUAGCUUAAGAAAUGGCAACUCCAGCCUUCCAACUGCCCAGCCAAAAAUCUUGAGGGGCCAUCCUUGACACCUCUCAUUCUCAGGUUCCCCGUAUCUUUUACAUCAGCAAUAUCUGCUGUUUCUGCCUUCAAAAUAUAUCCCAAAUCAGAUCCUUUUUAUACCUCUGCUGACCCCACUUGGGCCCAAGUCACUAUUAUCUCACACCUGGAUUAUUUCAACAGCCUUUGAGUUGGUUCCACCUUGGCCCAG